UCCAUAAUCAAUCUUGUCAUGUGAGCUGUAGCUCCAUCCUGCUGAAACCGCACUCGCCAGAUAGGAAUACGCUUUUCUUCUUAAUUCGGGUAGGAAGCAUUCAGUGAUCGUAUUUCUAUAUCGUUCAGAGCACGCCAAAGAGUCACCUUGGGACUAUGUAAUGGUUUCUUAUGCAGUAGUUUUGGGUUCCCACUGGCGCAAUAACGGCAGUUCUGCUGAUUUACCAUUCCAUUCAAAUGCAAAUGAACUUUGUCACUCGUAACCAAAAUAAAGUUCUCAUUUUACUCAAGUAUGGCCUCAACUUCUCGGGCAAAGUUUAGCUGCUGUUCAUAAUCUGUUUGGAUUAAUCUUUGCGCAGUGGCCAUUUUGUAGGGAUGAAAUUUUAGGUUAGUAUGCAAAAUACCCCUUACCGAGCGAUUACUGAGGCGCAACUCAGCCGAGUGUCUUGUAGCAGAUCGACCGGGACUACGGAGUAUGGCUUGCCGAACUCUUUCCACAUUUUCUCGUGUCUGAACUGAGCGAGGAGCCCCUUGUGGUUUUUUGUUCAGAACUGUUCCUCGUGUUCGAAAUGAUUCUACCCAACGUAAAAUAGUGUUAGCUGAACACACGGUGUUGCUCGGUCCACAGUUCCGUGACCUCGGCUAAACAAAAUGGCAGGAGCUACCGAUCACGUUACCACAUCACUCCCCCCACUCCGACUGCCUGGACCUGAAUUCUAGCUGUUCUAAAAAUGUUCGUCCUUUCUGCCUCACCCUGUAUAUCUACAUUACAUAUAUUAGCUAGUAUCAUAAGUUCGAAUUGUAACAUGAUCUGAGCUCCAUAACCUUUGCAUUUUCCCAGAAAAGUGAACUUGCCUGUACCGCGUACUAUGACAUCAGUUGGUAGUAAUUCGUUACAUAGAACUGUUAAUCCCUCAUCUUUGGGAGUUAACGAAUAACCGUGUGCUGUACCGCAACUGCGUCCAGUUACUUUGACUCAACACAGUGUGCUUUAGAUUGCAAUCUUUAGGUACUUAUCUAACAGGAAGUAACAUUCUUGCUUUGCAUCUCUCAUGGUCAUAUGUAGACAGGAGCACAAUAUUUUGUUUAUGUAUCUGAUUAACCUUAAUACUCUUAAACUUCAACUUUUCGAGAGACAGAUGUGUAUACUGCCUAUUGGCUUCAUCGAUUAGUAAAAAUUUGGUUUUUGGAGCAAUAUAUGUAAACAUCCUCUUAGUUGCAUAGGCUUCUGCUAGUAAUGGCCAUACCUUACAUGUAUUAUAUGGGUUGCUAUCUACUAAUGGUACAUUUAGCGAAUAACUUAAAGUAUUGCCAACUGAAAAUGCAUCUAAAUCUAUAAUAUGCAGUAAUUGGUAAUCCAGGCCCUCUGUGAUUAAGUACCGUACUACUUGUAUCGGAUUUAUUGAGCGAGACUGCACCAAUCCUUUCGUGCAUUCACUACAGCCGUAAUUAGCAAAUCGUAUGCUGUUUCUGAUUCAUUGAACAGGGUCAUUAAUGGAACUAACUACUCAGUUACUGUUAUCAGAAUUAACAUGUCUUGUAACUUCUUAUUCAUACUGUUUCAUACUCUUCCACGUGUUUACUUAACUUCCGAAUUCUGUCGGAGGUUCUUUCCAUUUUUUGUAACCACACUGAUCGUGUGAUUAAAACUCAUUGGGGAGGCCUUCAGUAUUGUCACUUGGUCCUUUGAGAGCCUUAAUAAUUCCCAUUGCUGUUUCUCCAGAACAUCUAGUUGCUCUUUGAAAAAGACGCGUCAUCUUCAUCUAGAGUGCGAAACAAAACUUGACUAUCUUCCCGCCAAUAAAGUUCAAAAUCCUUCUUUUAUGUCUGAGAGCCUCACGUUUAGCUAACUGCCCUAUCAGCACUUUAGCUCUACCGAUCUUCUCUACGCGCCACAUUGUAGCUUGCUGUGCAUGUUCGAGUUCUACUGUUGUCAGCUUCAUUGUACGUAACAUUCUUAUGCAGUGUGACACAGUUUGGUUCUUCAUCUUCGUGAGUUUUGCGAAACUUAUCGUGCAUCUCUUUCAAAUUAAAUAACUUACUAUAUAACAAGUAAUACUGUGUAAACUAACUUUCCUUGUUUGUCAUGAUAAAUCCCUGGAGAUGAAUGGAAUUAUUGUAACCGUGUGUCCCACAGUGUCUGUCUGUUCAGCUAUACUUGUCACCACACUGCUGAUGAUUAGUAAUCCUCGUAUGUCUCACACUCUUGCUAUCUGAAAUUAGAAGACCUCUUUCAACCGGUUUGCGUGUACCCUCGUUCAUUUCUGUUGCUUUAUUCUAAUUAAUACAUAGGUCCAUCCACAGCAACUAUGUCGUAGGGUCCUCGCCACUGACUGUCCAACUUUCUCUAUCUACAUUCUCAUCGUAUAACAACACGCUGUGACGUCCCGAGCGUGGGUAUUGCGAGGGAUUGAGCGACACGGUUCGUGAAAGGGAUUUAUCCGGUUGACCACAGUGAGAGGGAGACUGUUUGAUCUGGCUAAGGUGUGGAAAUCCCUGGUGUGAAAGUACAAGUCUAGGAGCGGGUGGAAUUAAAGUCUUGCUAACUUUAACAAGUUGCAGUUUAUUCCGAAGAAUUACAGCUCACCCUAACUGAAUGGUGAUUGCAUUCACAGGAAGGCCGAGUCUGAUACAGAGAUGGUGACCGAUUCCACCGUUCCGACCGCCUACUAAAAGCUCCGCAAUACUUCCUAGCGCCCUGCGUCAGAGUCCUGUGCCUACGCACUGACGCUCUUUGGCGACUGUGUCCGGCUGCCUGCCUUCGGCCCGAGUCGGUUGCCGCUAUCACGCCGACUGCUGUCACUGCCCGGAUCUUGACAUCGAGAGAAGCUUGAGCGGCGUUCUCCCGAGUUUUGUCAGCUCUGCCCCUCCGAUCCCGCCAGCGCUCGGAGUGACUUAGUGUCGGAGGCGACUUACACUCGUUUGGUAACGUUUAACCCUCGGUCAGGCGCAGUUCUGGGAAUCCUGAGUUUGGGCGCAAUGAGCCUGACAGGCACAGAUUUUGAAAUCACCUAUUAUCUUAGUUUCUCAACUUUACUACGCUAAACGUAAUCAGUUACUUUCGUGGGAAUGUGUAGAGACAGAAUAUACGAAAGUGGAUGAAAAAAAAGAAAAAAAUAAAGAUGAAUGACAAAAGUAACAAAAUUGAAAGGACUGAAAUUUUGAAACCACCACCAAACAGUUACAGUUUUUAGUACAUAAAUUUUAUUAAACAAUAAAUUUAAAAAAAAACUCCAAUUGUAAGCCACUUUUCUGAUGCUGGUGUCUUUUACACUCAGAAAUACCAGAAGGGACACAUUGGUGCACAGAAAAGCAAAGUUGGCAGGCCAUAUUUGUGUGGGAUAGGCAGACUGUGUUAUGGCAGUUUUUACAUACAUAGUUUGACAUCCUUCUGCAACCGUUUCGGUAGUGCAGGUGGUGCAUCUACGUCUUUUUGGACGUGGGAAACACGGUGAUUCCUCUCUAUCUUCAGUCGGGAUAAAUCUUUUGAGCUCACUUUGCAGGAUUCCAACCUUUUUCAUACUACUUCUGUGUAGCUCUCCAAGAACAAGUUGAUGUGCCAGUGAUUAUAGAUACACCGAAUUCCCCGUCUCACAGUUUUUCACUGUCUCUUUUAUCCAUUUCAGGGUCAUGGGCUGUGCAUCAGUCUCUGGGGUGUGGGCACUUGGACUCAAAUCCUCUUCCUCGCGUUUCGAGGUUUGAAUGUCAGCAUCGGCCACAUCGUUGUGUACUUGAAUUUGUCGAUACUGACCCUCGUCACUUUUGUGAAGCUCAGCCUCCCGCUUCAGAUCGACAUGCACCACGAGAGUAUACGAAUACAAAGUUCGCUGGACUGCAGAAUCGUGAGUCUAGAUCCCUGAAUUCAGAACAAUAUCAUUUGACUUUGGUUACAACUUUGGAACGGUCACAUUCGCAAGAAGCCUGUUACAUCAUAUGGGGCGGGGUCCAGCGCAGGGAGCCUAGAUACGUCUCGGAUCGAUUCCAGGAGAAGAGGUACUUUGCUUCAGACCGUCGACAGCCUCGAGAUAGAUUACAGGGCUCCAGAUGAUCCUCAGCUUCCUGAGGCAAGGUUCAUUGUUUCGUGUCAGCUGUCACCUCAAGAGACGAGGUACGCACCUUCAGAUCAGACACCUUCUCGGGAUUCCAGGUAUGUGCCCGCAGACCAGAAUUAGACAGAGAAUCUGAGGUUCAGAGACUUGCAUCUACCACCAUUCUGUGAUUCCAGAUUCAUAGGCCUGGAUGAGUUGCCCUUCUAUGCUUAGAGGUUCAGAUCAGAUGCAAUCCAGAGAAGGUAGAUUUGCUGAACGAGAGCCUUUGCACUCUCGUGAAUAUAUUGAAGUGGUCAAAUCACCAAUGGCUCAGAGAAUUUGAUAAUACAGUUUCUGGCAUGCCACAUUCCGGGGAAUACAGAUUUUCGGGUUCACAUUUUCCACCCGAACAAUUGAGGUCCUCUUACAUGAGCUUGCCGUGGUCUCGUUUCUUGAAGCCUUCAGAUUCUAGCUUGUAUUUCCCAGCCACAGCAGUAAGUGUUGAAGAUAAUUUUGCAGAUAGUGGCUUCUGUUUCAAUAUCCAACAUUCCAAAUUUUGGGGACAUUUGUUGAAUAACAUUAAUAUAAUUUUAGUAUUAAUUUACUACAUACUGUCUCGUGCUGGAAAUUGAAGUUUCAUGAGUACCAAAUUUGCCUAUGCUGCAAAAUAUUGUUGGAAAUAAACUUUGAAUUCAGUUUGGAACUAUUUUGUUCUUAAUUGUGUUAUGUUAGAGUGCAUAUUGACGAUUUACUUAUGAACAGGCCUGUCCAUUUGCUGUUAAUUGUAAAAGCCUUCAAACAGGUUAAUACCAUGUUCUAUUCAAUAUUUAUUUUUGUAUCUCAGUUUUUUGCUGUUUUAUGUAAUUAAAUGAAAGGGCUAAAUUUAAGGAAUAUAUGAAACUUUGUACACAUCAAGUGGGUAGAGUAACACUGUCAUUAUCUUCAACCUCAACAUCAGCAUUUAAUGAUGAGUUCAGUGUUAAGAUGAUUUUGUAAAGCAAAUUGUUUAAAUAUUUUGUGUGUGUGUGUGUGUGUGUAAUAAAAGUUUCGGCAUAUCAAA